rnacentral:miRNA from 1 species
UAAUAUAGCUCUUUUACAAAAUGUUUCAGAAAUUAUUAGUUCUCAAAUAAAAAUAAUUAUUAAGUUUUAAAUGUAUUUUAAAAAAAAUUCUUUAAA